CGAACAUUCUCAGCGCCGUAACCACUUCAGGAGUUCCUAGGCGCCCUCCUAGGUUAAAUAGUUAAGCUGUUUGCAAAUGGUUUGACAACAUACCUGAAAAGUGCAAGAUGCUGUUUCCUUCCCCUUAUUUCUCCUAUGAUGCCAGGAGCAUCCUGGCCUGGUUCCCCAGAAAUGGGACAAGCUGUUUAGUAAUGGUUUGCCCUCUUCCCUUGGUCCCCACCGUGCUUGCUCCAAGGCUAUCUCUCCUCCUGGUUGACGUGCUUUGGGCUUCUGCAAAGUUGCAUAACUAUUUUUCCAGAUGGCUGAUUAUGUCCCUAUGGCACUGCCAGAGAUGGAGUUACACUAUUCACUAUUUGCAGAAUUUCACAGCGAAACACUGCACAUACAGGCUCCAGACAGCAUGACCACUUCAAAUCACUGAAUAUGUCAUGAUAUUUGGAGUAACCCUUUAAUGACAGAGUAUAUUGAAGCUAACAUUUAAAGCAUUUCUUUCAAAUGCAAUGUAUGCCAGAUAAACAAGAUACAGCAACAAAUUCGUCUUUUUAUCUUCAACGCAGUAAGGUGUAAAUCAGUUUGUGUUGCCAGUAUCUGUAGGUGUCAAAAUUGUUUCACAUUUUUAAAGCAGUGUGUUACUCUAUGGUUUACAG